UGGUCUGUCUACAUUGCCUAAGUUGAUUUG
rnacentral:piRNA from 1 species